rnacentral:rRNA from 1 species
AUACGUAGGUGGCAAGCGUUGUCCGGAAUUAUUGGGCGUAAAGCGCGCGCAGGCGGUCCUUUAAGUCUGAUGUGAAAGCCCACGGCUCAACCGUGGAGGGUCAUUGGAAACUGGGGGACUUGAGUGCAGAAGAGGAAAGUGGAAUUCCAAGUGUAGCGGUGAAAUGCGUAGAGAUUUGGAGGAACACCAGUGGCGAAGGCGACUUUCUGGGCUGUAACUGACGCUGAGGCGCGAAAGCGUGGGGAGCAAACAGGAUUAGAUACCCUGGUAGUCCACGCCGUAAACGAUGAGUGCUAAGUGUUAGGGGGUUUCCGCCCCUUAGUGCUGCAGCUAACGCAUUAAGCACUCCACCUGGGGAGUACGGUCGCAAGACUGAAACUCAAAUGAAUUGGCGGGG